UUUUGCAGCCAUACCGCCUUGAGCCAUGAUCUCGUCAGAUCUCAUUAGCUAAGUAAAGUCGAGUUUGGUCAGUGUUUGUAUGAGAGACCUCUAGGGGCAUUCUGGCAUUUUAGUGA
rnacentral:rRNA from 1 species